rnacentral:rRNA from 1 species
CCUACGGGCGGCAGCAGUCGGGAAUCUUUCACAAUGGGGGAAACCCUGAUGCAGCGACGCCGCGUGGAGGAUGAAGGGUCUCGGAUUGUAAACCCCUUUUGAUAGAGAAGAUAAUGACGGUAUCUGAAGAAUAAGCACCGGCUAACUCCGUGCCAGCAGCCGCGGUAAUACGGAGGGUGCAAGCGUUACCCGGAUUCACUGGGAGUAAAGGGUGCGUAGGCGGGGUAGCAAGUCAGAUGUGAAAGCCUAGGGCUGAACCAUAGAACUGCAUUUGAAACUGUGAGUCUAGAGUAUGGGAGAGGUAGGUGGAAUUCUUGGUGUAGGGGUAAAAUCCGUAGAGAUCAAGAGGAACACUCAUGGCGAAGGCGACCUGCUAGAACAUAACUGACGCUGAGGCGCGAAAGCGUGGGGAGCAAACAGGAUUAGAUACCCGGGUAGUC